rnacentral:pre_miRNA from 1 species
GGUACUCGAGGAGAGGUUCCCUUGUGGGUAUUCAAUUUGUUGAUGCUAAGUCAUUCCCACCCACCUCCUCUUCGGUAUC